rnacentral:rRNA from 1 species
GCUCAACCGUGGAGGGUCAUUGGAAACUGGGAAACUUGAGUGCAGAAGAGGAAAGUGGAAUUCCAUGUGUAGCGGUGAAAUGCGCAGAGAUAUGGAGGAACACCAGUGGCGAAGGCGACUUUCUGGUCUGUAACUGACGCUGAUGUGCGAAAGCGUGGGGAUCAAACAGGAUUAGAUACCCUGGUAGUCCACGCCGUAAACGAUGAGUGCUAAGUGUUAGGGGGUUUCCGCCCCUUAGUGCUGCAGCUAACGCAUUAAGCACUCCGCCUGGGGAGUACGACCGCAAGGUUGAAACUCAAAGGAAUUGACGGGGACCCGCACAAGCGGUGGAGCAUGUGGCUUAAUUCGAAGCAACGCGAAGAACCUUACCAAAUCUUGACAUCCUUUGACCACUCUAGAGAUAGAGCUUUCCCCUUCGGGGGACAAAGUGACAGGUGGUGCAUGGUUGUCGUCAGCUCGUGUCGUGAGAUGUUGGGUUAAGUCCCGCAACGAGCGCAACCCUUAAGCUUAGUUGCCAUCAUUAAGUUGGGCACUCUAGGUUGACUGCCGGUGACAAACCGGAGGAAGGUGGGGAUGACGUCAAAUCAUCAUGCCCCUUAUGAUUUGGGCUACACACGUGCUACAAUGGACAAUACAAAG